GCCAAAAUGAGUUUAGCUUUUGACAUCUGUCUCUCUGAGCCAGCCUCUGACAGAAUGUCCGGGAGUCACUCAGCAGAGAGGCUGCACAGAGCUGGGUCCCGCACACUGGUGCUUCUGCAGUUCAAGGAGCUCAGGGUUUUGCAGCGCUGAAGUGCACGGAGCAAAGGAGCAGAUCCUUCACCUGGAGGCAGGAAGUGGCUGAUCUCCCGGGCAGGUCCUGGCCGUUGUGUCCAGACUAGAGACCUCGUUGCUCCUCCUAGCCUUGUUUCCGGUCGCGUGGGCUGAGGCCGCCUUCUCAGGUGGACAGCAGAGACGGUCUAGCCCUGCAGAUGAGCUGCGUUGCUGACAGACCACAGUGCUACUUUCACUUUCCCCUCGAGGGCUUCUGUAGCCUUCGAGCAGAAAGAGAGAUCAAGCUGAUACCAGGGUGCAGGGAACGCCUGUCCGGGAUCUCCGGUGAAACGUCAGAGAUGGCCCAGCCUCUGUUGUCAGCGUUGUAA
rnacentral:lncRNA from 1 species